rnacentral:rRNA from 1 species
GAUGAACGCUAGCUACAGGCUUAACACAUGCAAGUCGAGGGGCAGCAUGGACAUAGCUUGCUAUGUUUGAUGGCGACCGGCGCACGGGUGCGUAACACGUAUCCAAUCUACCCAUGGCUCGGGGAUAGCCUUUCGAAAGAAAGAUUAAUACCCGAUGGUCUCGGUUUAAGGCAUCUUAGACUGAGUAAAGAUUUAUCGGCGAUGGAUGAGGAUGCGUCUGAUUAGGUAGAUGGCGGGGUAACGGCCCACCAUGCCUACGAUCAGUAGGGGUUCUGAGAGGAAGGUCCCCCACAUUGGAACUGAGACACGGUCCUAACUCCUACGGGAGGCAGCAGUGAGGAAUAUUGGUCAAUGGACGAGAGUCUGAACCAGCCAAGUAGCGUGAAGGAUGACUGCCCUAUGGGUUGUAAACUUCUUUUGUUUGGGAAUAAAGUUCGGGACGUGUCCCGUUUUGUAUGUACCAUUCGAAUAAGCAUCGGCUAAUUCCGUGCCAGCCGCCGCGGUAAUAC